GACGAACGCUGGCGGCGUGCUUAACACAUGCAAGUCGAACGGGAAGGCCCUGCUUUUGUGGGGUGCUCGAGUGGCGAACGGGUGAGUAACACGUGGGUAACCUGCCCUUGACUUUGGGAUAACUUCAUGAAACUGGGGCUAAUAGCGGAUAGGAGCUCCCGCUGCAUGGUGGGGGUUGGAAGGUUUCGGCGGUUGGGGAUGGACUCGCGGCUUAUCAGAUUGUUGGUUGGGUAGUGUCUUACCAAGGCUUUGACGGGUAGCCGGGCUGCGAGGGUCACCGGCCCAGCUAGGAUUGGAAUGAGGCACAGCCUCGUCCGGGAGGGAGGAGAGCGGAAUAUUGCACAGUGGGCGGAAGCAUGAUGCAGUCACGCAGCGUGCGGGAUGACGGCCUUCCGGUUGUGUACCGCUUUCGCCUGUGACGAAGCGUGAGUGACGGUAAUGGGUAAAGAAGCACCGGCUAACUACGUG
rnacentral:rRNA from 1 species